UACAGAGGUCUCAACCGUUGUUCGGAUUCAUUGGGCGUAAGGGGUGCGUAGGCGGUCGCGCAAGUCGGAUGUGAAAUCUCAGGGCUCAACCCUGAAACUGCAUUCGAUACUGCGUGGCUAGAGUGCUGGAGAGGAGACUGGAAUUUACGGUGUAGCAGUGAAAUGCGUAGAUAUCGUAAGGAAGACCAGUGGCGAAGGCGAGUCUCUGGACAGCAACUGACGCUGAGGCACGAAGGCCAGGGGAGCAAACGGG
rnacentral:rRNA from 1 species